UUAACAAUUUUGAAUUACAAAAAACCUAAGUAAAUGACAUAUUUAAUUUUUUUUCCUUUUUUUUUUUUUUUCGUGGGUGGGUGGGGGAGCUUGGAGCUGUCUUAAUCUGUAUUCUCUUAACUGAACAAUAAAUUUUUAUAUAUAUAGUUUCCUCUAUUAAACACUUAAAACUGGCCAUCUUAUUAACUCCUUCUGCUCUUUUUAACAAGGUAAUGUUUUAAAUGUAUAGUUUUAGGAUUAGCGAAAUGGCAGCAACAAAAAACUGUAAGCAGUCGUUACUCUUAAGUGUUUAAAAACCUUUUACAUUGUAAGUACCCAAUCCAUUCUGUCCUUACGCAGUGCAGUUUUCAUGUUAAUGUUGCUGAGAUGUCCUUAAUUUUCUGAACCUUCAUCUGCAUGUAUGUCUUUGUCGCUCUUGUCUAGCAUAAGCCAGUUAAAAUGCUUUUAGACGAUUUUGCUUUUAUAAAGCUAGGUUUUAGAGUUAAGCUUUUGAAAAUGUUUACAGCAAUAAAUGCUAGUCAGCUUUCUUCCCCGUAACAGGUACACUUUCUUUGAAAAUCGAUCUAUUUGAAGAAAAACAGACUCUGUUUUUCUCGUCUUUGUUGGGGAAGGGGGGUUGUGAGGGAAAGGAAGACCUCUUUGUGUAAAGAGACUAAAGCCGUCACAGGAAACUAGAUUAAAACUGGAAAACAAGUCCUAGCUGGUUCGAGCCAAACACCAUCGUUAACGGGGGUAGUUUCUAUGGUGGUUGGGAUGGCCGGUGCGUCUUUUGCCUUUUGUUUGAUUUGACUGUGUAUUUUCGCCUUUUGUCUCUUAAUGACGGUCACACCAUUGCUAUAUCCAGAGCAGUAAACAGUCCUCAGCGAAGCCGCCUUUUGCCAACCCAACCCUGGAAAGUUUGCAGAAGUGGAAGGAGCAGAAAAUGCCAUGAGAGUGUAACUUUAAAAAGGCUCGUGACUGGAGAAGGGGCCCGGUACCCUCAGAGUGGACCGCCCUCCUUUGGAUAGCAGAAGCAGGUAUAGUCUGACUCUGCCAGUCCCCGCAUUAAGGUAGGUGUGAGCCCUUUCCCAGCCUGCGAGGGCGAUUUGGGGGGCUUUGGCCUGGCGCCCAGGGAGGGCGGGCACCCCAAACCCGCUAGUCUGGUUCUUCGGCCCCUCCCCCACACAGAUGUGUGGGACUGUGUGAAAUCGGCUGCCUGCUGGGCCUGCUUGGUCCAUCCAUCCCCGCCUGUCAGCUUCUGUUGUCAGGAGUUUGGGGCGUGCAAUUCUCUGCCGUAUUUAGCAGCAUAGGAGAGGCUGCACUUACGAAAGUAUUUCCCAGUCGUGUGUUUUGUGGUGGGGGAGGGCCCUGGAUGCCUCUUCUGAAAGGCACAGUCGGCUGCCAGGAAACCGGACCCGGCGCUGGCCCUCCCUUCCGGCCCGCACUGGCGGUGUGUGGGGUGAUUGUAUGAAGCUGGCCCCUUCCUUUCUAAUGUCUGGCUGCUAGGGAGGUGAAGAACAGAAGGACUUGAGAUCUGGGCCAGUUUUCUUUAAGAAAGAGGUUUCUUGACUCGUCUCCUUCCAGGAAAUUCCCACGAUUCCAUCUCACCCAGCCCCCUCCCCCUCAAAGCCCUGUUUCUAGAAUUGGACAAACCCGAAUUUGAAACCUGGCUAGCCGUUUUACCUGCUGUGACCUUGUGUAAGCAGCGCAGUCUCUCAGCCCCAGUUUCCCCAUCCGAACAAAUGGGUCAGUGAUUGUCAAAGUGUGCAUCCGAUCACACGGGUGGCUCAUUAAAAUACUCCGAGACCCCAUCCUUGAGUUUCUGAUUCAGUUGGUGGGGCCUGAGAACUCUCAUUUCUAAUAAAAUUCCCAGGUUUUGCUCA
rnacentral:lncRNA from 1 species